rnacentral:tRNA from 1 species
GCCAGAGUGGUGGAAUUGGCAGACACGCCAGACUCAAAAUCUGGUCUUGUUUACUCAAGGUGUGGGUUCGAGUCCCACCUCUGGCA